rnacentral:rRNA from 1 species
CCGGCGACCGGCGCACGGGUGAGUAACACGUAUGGAACCUGCCCGCAGCAGGGGGAUAAGCGGAAGAAAUUCCGUCUAAUACCGCGUAACACCGCAGAGGGGCAUCCCUCGGCGGUUAAAGAUUCAUCGGCUGCGGAUGGCCAUGCGGCGCAUUAGCUAGUCGGCGGGGUAACGGCCCACCGAGGCGACGAUGCGUAGGGGUUCUGAGAGGAAGGUCCCCCACACUGGUACUGAGACACGGACCAGACUCCUACGGAAGGCAGCAG